rnacentral:tRNA from 1 species
UUGGGAUGAUAGUUACAACAUAGUUACAUAAUCGAAAAUUUACCAAUGAAACCAACGAUAUUUAAAAGACUCUGACUCCGUUAGUCCUGGUUCGAAUCCAGGUUCCCCAGCCA